rnacentral:lncRNA from 1 species
AGUUUUGGAGCACUGUCGCUACCUGUCCUCCCGAAAUCCAACGCUAUCACCCCUUGGUGUAAUCUUGUACCCGCGCGUAUGGUCCGCCUGUGCGUAUGAUCAUCAAAGUUUUUACUGCACGCCCACGAUCCAGAGUGGAGGAGUGAAUCUCUUGGACGCCUUGCCUUGUUGAUCUGCAGGGGAGCAGUGAGCCUGAUUGAUGCGGCCAUUUUUCACAGUUUUGGCUGCGAGGAGAAGGAGAAGGACAAGGACAAGGAGAAGGCUGUCCUUUUACUCGGGGUUGGGGGCACGCGGAUCAUUCACCCGUCCCGUCCAACCGUGUACCCGAACCCCACCUACAAUCUAGGACUACAAGGCGCGCGCUGCUCUCGUGCCGGUGCCACGACAUGGCGGCCAUUUCCUCCUCCGUUGCCGGCCGCGGUUCCCCUGGCUAGCAGCUAGCUACUAGACACUGGUCACAGUCACAAUUCACAAACGCCUUUGCUUGGCUCCGUCUGACCGUCUGUCUGCGCUCCAUGUUUGCGGGGCGGCAGCGCCAUCAGGCUGCGGUGGCGCCGCCGCGGCGCAGGAGGUUCGAAGCCGCCGCCGGCAAGGAGGGGGAGCCCACGGCGGCGGAGUGCGCGUGCAGGUCGUGCGCGGCGGUGGCCGUGGCGGACUGCGUGGNN